AUUGAACGCUGGCGGCAUGCCUUACACAUGCAAGUCGAACGGCAGCACGGGAGCAAUCCUGGUGGCGAGUGGCGAACGGGUGAGUAAAGUAUCGGAACGUGCCCAGUCGUGGGGGAUAACGUAGCGAAAGUUACGCUAAUACCGCAUACGAUCUAUGGAUGAAAGCGGGGGAUCGCAAGACCUCGCGCGAUUGGAGCGGCCGAUAUCAGAUUAGGUAGUUGGUGGGGUAAAGGCUCACCAAGCCGACGAUCUGUAGCUGGUCUGAGAGGAAGAGCAGACACACUGGGACUGAGACACGGCCCAGACUCCUACGGGAGGCAGCAGUGGGGAAUUUUGGACAAUGGGCGAAAGCCUGAUCCAGCCAUGCCGCGUGCAGGAUGAAGGCCUUCGGGUUGUAAACUGCUUUUGUACGGAACGAAAAGGUUUGGGCUAAUAAGCUGAGCUCAUGACGGUACCGUAAGAAUAAGCACCGGCUAACUACGUGCCAGCCGCCGCGGUAA
rnacentral:rRNA from 1 species